rnacentral:rRNA from 1 species
GUUAAUUCGAAGAUACACGAGAACUACAGGUCUGACAUACCAUUGACAGGUGUAGAGAUACACUCUCCUUCGGGGCAAGUGGAUACAGGUGGUGCAUGGUUGUCGUCAGCUCGUGCCGUGAGGUGUUGGGUUAAGUCCCGCAACGAGCGCAACCCUCAUUGUUAGUUACUACCAUUCAGUUGAGGACUCUAAUGAGACUGCCAACGGCAAGUUGGAGGAAGGUGGGGAUGACGUCAAAUCAUCAUGCCCUUAUGACCUGGGCUACAAACGUACUACAAUGGCCAAUACAAAGAGAUGCGAAGCGGUGACGUGAAGCGAACCUCAGAAAGUUGGUCUCAGUUCAGAUUGAAGUCUGCAACUCGACUUCAUGAAGGCGGAAUCGCUAGUAAUCGCGGGUCAGCAGACCGCGGUGAAUACGUUCCGGUUU